CCUACGGGUGACAGCAGUAGGGAAUUUUCGGCAAUGGGGGGAACCCUGACCGAGCAACGCCGCGUGAAGGAAGAAGGAAUUCGGUCUGUAAACUUCUGUUAUAAAGGAAGAAAGACGGAUGGAGGAAAUGAUAUCAGAGUGACGGUACCUUAUGAGAAAGCCACGGCUAACUACGUGCCAGCAGCCGCGGUAAUACGUAGGUGGCAAGCGUUAUCCGGAAUUAUUGGGCGUAAAGCGGUCGUAGGCGGCAUGUAAGGUCUGUGGUGAAAGACUGAAGCUUAACUUCAGUAAGCCAUAGAAACCAGGCAGCUAGAGUGCAAGAGAGGAUCGUGGAAUUCCAUGUGUAGCGGUGAAAUGCGUAGAUAUAUGGAGGAACACCAGUGGCGAAGGCGACGAUCUGGCCUGCAACUGACGCUCAGUGCCGAAAGCGUGGGGAGCAAAUAGGAUUAGAUACCCCAGUAGUC
rnacentral:rRNA from 1 species